rnacentral:rRNA from 1 species
GAUGACUGUGUGGUGGCGUUGCGACAUGUGUAUCCAAAAGACUCUCGGCAACGGAUAUCUCGGCUC